GAUGAACGCUGGCUACAGGCUUAACACAUGCAAGUCGAGGGGAAACGACGGGGAAGCUUGCUUCCCCGGGCGUCGACCGGCGCACGGGUGAGUAACGCGUAUCCAACCUGCCUCUGACUGAGGGAUAACCCGUCGAAAGUCGGCCUAAUACCUCAUGGCAUCGUCUGCGGGCAUCCAACGACGAUUAAAGAUUUCAUCGGUCAGAGAUGGGGAUGCGUCUGAUUAGCUUGUUGGCGGGGUAACGGCCCACCAAGGCGACGAUCAGUAGGGGUUCUGAGAGGAAGGUACCCCAGAUGGGAACCGAGACACGGUCCAAACUCCUACGGGAGGCAGCAGUGAGGAAUAUUGGUCAAUGGGCGAGAGCCUGAACCAGCCAAGUAGCGUGCAGGAUGACGGCGCUAGGGGUUGUAAACUGCUUUUAUGAGGGGAUAAAGUGAGGGACGUGUCCUUCAUUGCAGGUACCGAAUGAAUAAGGACCGGCUAAUUCCGUG
rnacentral:rRNA from 1 species